UGAUAAGGGAGUGGAGGUGGUGGUCCGGAUGAAGCGUACUCUCCGAGUGUCGGGGUUCCAGGAGUGUUGGGGAAGUCUGUGAAUCCAGUUUGGUUGGAGAAUCCCUGACUCCCUGUAAUACACCGAAGCAAAUAAAAGCAGACUCCUCUGUCCUACCUGGCCGGCUGUAAUCGGGUGUGUUCCUGCCUCCUGUGGUCAGACUCUGGUAGGGGGAUGAUGCCGGGCCCAGAGCAGCAAUCAUCUCCAUCACGUUCGGCAGGACCAUGUGACUCGGACUGACUGUACGGCAGCGUUUGAGGACUGGACCAUCGGGCUCCUCCUUUAUGUGGAGGUCAGGUUUAAUGGGCACCGGUCUCCAACCACACACCGGGUCUAUGGUGAUCUCCUCAUAGUCAGAGCUGAAAAUGAAAAGAAGGGAGACAAGACAGGCUUAAAUGAAAUAAAAAGUUAGUGGACA